UAACCAGGAUGGCCUCAGUAACGGCGAGUGAAGCGGCCACAGCCCAGGAUGCCAAUCCACUGGAAUUGUAACCUGCGGAGGGGCGGCGAACCCUCCGGGCAGCCUAAGUCGGUAGGAAAGCCGCACCAGGGAGGGUGAGAGUCCCGUGUGGCCGCCCGGAGUCGAGCCCACUCUUCUACGAGUCGAGCAGCUUGGGAUUGCUGUUCAAAGCGGGAGGUAGACUCCUCCUAAGGCUAAACAGCGGCAAGAGACCGAUAGCGCACAAGUACCGUGAGGGAAAGGUGAAAAGCACUUUGGAAAGAGAGUUAACAGACUUGAAACUGUUGCGGUGGAAGCGGUGCUCAGCACCGACCCGUCUUGAAACACGGACCAAGGAGUCCAACUGGCAUGCGAGUGCAAGUGGAACACACCGUGCGCAAUGAAAGUGAGAACCACGAGCAGUGGUGGGCCGGUAAUUCGGAGCAAGCAUGUAAGUUGGGACCCGAAAGAUGGUGAGCUAUGCUUGGGCAAGACGAAGCCAGAGGAAACUCUGGUGGAGGUCUGAAGGGGUGCUGACGUGCAAAUCGCUCUCGUGACCUGAGUAUAGGGGCGAAAGACUCAUCGAACCAUCUAGUAGCUGGUUCCCUCCGAAGUUUCCCUCAGGAUAGCUGGGACAGACAGUUGCACCCGGUCAAGCCAAUGAGUAGAGGUCAGGGAGACAUGCGUCUUUCUCCUAUUAUCAAACUUUAAAUGGGUGCGCCCUCACUUGCUUGGUUGAAGUGAGGGGCUUAAUGGCGUCCUUAGUGGGCCAGUUCGGGUAAGCUGAAUUGGCGAUGAGGGUUCAACCUGAAGCAGGGUUAAGGCGACGAAAGGUGUCUGUUAGUAAAGGCGUUGGUUCAUUAAACAGUAGGACGGUGGCCAUGGAAGUCGGAAACCGCUAAGGAGUGUGUAACAACUCACCUACCGAAUGAACUAGCCCUGAAAAUGGAGGUCAUUGGAGGCGCCUGCCGAUACUUUGCCGAGUGUAGGAGGGCGAGGCGCGUUUGUGGAAGGCCGGUCGUGAGGCCGGCUGGAAGACGCGCUUGUGCAGAUCUUGGUGGUAGUAGCAAUAAUUCCAAUGAGAACUUGGAAGGCUGAAGAGGAGCAGGGUUUCAUGAGACUGCAGUAGGCCAUGAGUGACCCGAUCCUAACCUGGGAAAGGGGAUGUGGUUAAGAUUCCACAGGUCGGUCCUGCCUAGUGGCGACACAGCUCGCUACGAGACAGCGGUGCCAGUCCCGGGGAGAGUUCUCUUUUCUGCUUAACAUGGUGCGCGUCUGGAAGGGUAUGACACCGAGAUAGACGCUGCCCGUGGAAGAGCCCCACACACUGCGUGGGGUCCGGAGCACUGGCCACGUUCCUUGAAAAUCGUAGUGGGUAGGCAGGCCGAAUCGUACCGAGUCCGCAUCAGGUCUCCAAGGU
rnacentral:rRNA from 1 species